CCAGCCCUGACCACGUGACUUACAGGAAACUAUGCAGCUUCAAUGCAGCAGCAGCAGCUACUUUCACUUUCAACUCUGACAGAGCCGCUGUGUGUUUUGCCUGCAGAUGGAGGCAGCAUCGAUGUGGGUCAUCAUGGCCAUCUGAGGAAUGUCUGCAGAGACAGAAACAGAUGCUGAGGGAGUCAUGGAAAUGGUAUCCAUGGAGAUAUCCAUGGAGACAGCCACCCAUCAAGGGUCAACAUGGAAAACUAAACUGAAGCAUUAAUCUCUGGAGCGUUGGCAGACAUCACACAGACCAGGACAUGAACCUUGUCACCAAGUGAGGGAUUUGGGUUGUAACCAUAAUCGUCUUUAGUCAGUGGGCCCAUUGGGUUAAACUGCAAAAAA